CCAAUGUGGGCAUCCAGCAAGGUUGCUCUUGUCUGGCUCUGUCCGUGUGGCGCAUGGGAGUGUAGACAUUCAGUCCAUGACGCACAGUCCCGUUCCACGACAUUGGAGAGAAAGCAUGUCCCUGGCUUGCAGCUGGCGUGGACAGCAUCCUGCAUAUUCCUAGAGCUUUGCAGUCUGAGCAGUGACUGUGGAGAUUAACCAUGCAGGCCACAAGU